UUGGCCCUGAAUGAAGGCCAGCAGUUUGCUGAAGCUGUUGGUUUCAAGCAGGAGCCUAAAGAAUUCUCUUUCUAUGGUCUGUUGGCCAUUUCAGAACUUUGGAAAUGUAAUGGUCAAUUCAUUAGAAACAGUUUGAG
ensembl:snoRNA